UCCCGCUGAGCCACAGCCCACACGCCCAAGGCCAGGAUGGUGAAGUUGGCCCAGGCAUAGGAGCCUGAGAAUACAAUGCAGCCCCAGGUUGUCAGCAGCCAGUGACCUAGGAGAAUCACCUUCAGGUUCACAGCAGGCAGCUCCAUCCCGACUCAGGCCGAGGGCACCUGCGCCGCAGCCGCGGGGGGCUCCUAGGCUCCGAACUCGGGGAACAAACUUGCCCGGCCCCGCCCCGCCCCGCCCGUUGCGGCCACUCCAACCCCAGCGCAGCUCAAGACCACGUGAAACGGGCUGGAGCGGGUCACGUGACCGCCGCUUGGUUGCUAGGAGACGGCGUCGGCAGCUCGCGCCUUCAGCCAAGCUCCAGACUCCCGCCACCGCCCAGGCAGUACUUGGGGGCCGCUGGCGAAAGUUGGAGUUUCUGUCGCCCAGGGCGUAUCCUGCCUGGCUAAUAUUCCAGGAAGCGGACUGUUCGGACUGCCUGCAGCCAGGACAACUGGGGGACCGUCCAGGCGCAAAGUGCUGAUGUGGCAACAGCUUGUGUCUCAUCCUUGGGGGCACCCUCUCUCCUUCCCACUUCCCUGUGUAAAUGGGCUAUUUAGG
rnacentral:lncRNA from 1 species